AGGAGGGGUUAUAGGUGUCUGUAGUAGAGGAGGAGGGGUUAUAGGUGUCUGUAGUAGAGGAGGAGGGGUUAUAGGUGUCUGUAGUAGAGGAGGAGGGGUUAUAGGUGUCUGUAGUAGAGGAGGAGGGUUAUAGGUGUCUGUAGUAGAGGAGGAGGGUUAUAGGUGUCUGUAGUAGAGGAGGAGGAGGGUUAUAGGUGUCUGUAGUAGAGGAGGAGGGUUAUAGGUGUCUGUAGUAGAGGAGGAGGGUUAUAGGUGUCUGUAGUAGAGGAGGAGGAGGGUUAUAGGUGUCUGUAGUAGAGGAGGAGGGUUAUAGGUGUCUGUAGUAGAGGAGGAGGGGGGUUAUAGGUGUCUGUAGUAGAGGAGGAGGGGGGUUAUAGGUGUCUGUAGUAGAGGAGGGGGGGGGGUUAUAGGUGUCUGUAGUAGAGGAGGAGGAGGGUUAUAGGUGUCUGUAGUAGAGGAGGAGGAGGGGUUAUAGGUGUCUGUAGUAGAGGAGGAGGGUUAUAGGUGUCUGUAGUAGAGGAGGGAGGGUUAUAGGUGUCUGUAGUAGAGGAGGAGGGGUUAUAGGUGUCUGUAGUAGAGGAGGAGGGGUUAUAGGUGUCUGUAGUAGGAGGAGGAGGGUUAUAGGUGUCUGUAGUAGAGGAGGAGGAGGGGUUAUAGGUGUCUGUAGUAGAGGAGGAGGGUUAUAGGUGUCUGUAGUAGAGGAGGAGGGUUAUAGGUGUCUGUAGUAGAGGAGGAGGGUUAUAGGUGUCUGUAGUAGAGGAGGAGGGGUUAUAGGUGUCUGUAGUAGAGGAGGAGGGUUAUAGGUGUCUGUAGUAGAGGAGGAGGGGUUAUAGGUGUCUGUAGUAGAGGAGGAGGGGUUAUAGGUGUCUGUAGUAGAGGAGGAGGGGGGUUAUAGGUGUCUGUAGUAGAGGAGGAGGGGUUAUAGGUGUCUGUAGUAGAGGAGGAGGGGUUAUAGGUGUCUGUAGUAGAGGAGGAGGGGUUAUAGGUGUCUGUAGUAGAGGAGGAGGGGUUAUAGGUGUCUGUAGUAGAGAGGAGGGGGUUACAGGUGUCUGUAGUAGAGGAGGAGGGGUUAUAGGUGUCUGUAGUAGAGGAGGAGGAGGGGUUAUAGGUGUCUGUAGUAGAGGAGGAGGAGGGGUUAUAGGUGUCUGUAGUAGAGGAGGAGGAGGGGUUAUAGGUGUCUGUAGUAGAGGAGGAGGAGGGGUUAUAGGUGUCUGUAGUAGAGGAGGAGGAGGGGUUAUAGGUGUCUGUAGUAGAGGAGGAGGGGUUAUAGGUGUCUGUAGUAGAGGAGGAGGGUUAUAGGUGUCUGUAGUAGAGGAGGAGGGGUUAUAGGUGUCUGUAGUAGAGGAGGGUUAUAGGUGUCUGUAGUAGAGGAGGAGGGGUUAUAGGUGUCUGUAGUAGAGGAGGAGGAGGGUUAUAGGUGUCUGUAGUAGAGGAGGAGGGGUUAUAGGUGUCUGUAGUAGAGGAGGAGGGGUUAUAGGUGUCUGUAGUAGAGGAGGAGGGUUACAGGUGUCUGUAGUAGAGGAGGAGGAGGGUUAUAGGUGUCUGUAGUAGAGGAGGGGAGGGGUUAUAG
ensembl:lncRNA